AAUUCACUUUGGACUAUUAAUCCUGAUGCCCAAAGCUAGCUUUGCUCCAUUUGCUGGUGUUUUGGUUGUCCUCAUAACUCAGUGUCCCCACAAAGGGUUUAUACACACUUGAGGAAUCUGCUUUAAAGUAGUUCCUUUUUUUCAGAGUAUUUGGCAUUCCAUGGCACCUUGAAAGAUGUGAUUGAUAUCACAUAAUACACUAUGUGGCAAUUCUGCAAAAACAGCCUUUGGAUUCCAUAAGGAGAAGUUUAAGGUCUGACCCCUCUCUUGAAGAAAGUAGGGGGACAAAAAAAAGUUACUGAGAGAUGACAAGUCAUCUAAUUCACAGGAACUUAGCUAUAUAAUUAUAUUAAUAAUUGAGCAGAUUUACUUUAAGCAGAUUUCUAUUAGUAGGUUAAAUUUAUCACAUGGCUUCACAUGACAAAGCAGAGGAUUUCCAAGGUGACUUCUAACUGCAGUGGCUUGCCUUUUCACUACAAGAUUCUCCAAUAGAUAAAGAAAACUACCUACAUGCAAUACCACCCUGAUAUUUUUCACUAUAUAUCCUCAUAAUGAAUAAAGCAACAUACCUUUGAGGGGUGGGAAUUUAUGUUACUCUCUUAAGAUCAUGCCAUCGUUUCAAUGCACAAAUAAAGGAUUUGCCAAACUCUUAUAUUAAUUUGACUGUGGGCUACCCAAGUCACAAGUCUGCACAGUUAAGACCUCUUUCCAAAAGAAGCCAUCAUCAGCCUGCUACUAGAAUUCUUAUAGAUCAUAAACACUAUUUGUAGGGUUUAGUAUCGAUAUAAAGCACACGGCAGCUGUUAGCACUGUGAGAUACACAGUGUUGAAAUAAUGCAGGGCAGAACACAGAAGGGGUAAAAGAAGUGCAAGUUCAGUCUGGGUUUCUUUACCCCAGUCAUUGGUCCCUGAAUGCCUUUUGGAAUGUGUGGCACCCAGUGUAACAAUCAUAAGAGACAAUCCAUGGGAAAUGGAAUCCCAGGCAAGCUCUGACAGAAAGGUCACUCAGGAUGAUAUGGGAAUGUUCCCUAUAUUAUGAUGAAACAAAGGUGAUGACUCACUGUCAGCUUCUGUUUUCUUCAGGAAUGCCUACAGAAGGAGAAUUUCAGAAUUCUGUUAACAAAAGACCAAAAAUACUCAUGACCAAAAAUACUUGCAUAGCCCAUAGCAUUUGCAUACUCAAGGAGGAGUAGAAACAGGAUCCCACAGCGUAUCCAAGCAACUGCACCUAAGAGGAUAUGGACCACAGCUACAAAUUAUCCCUGAAUGUCUAGAAAUUAAAUUCCAGAGUGAGAAUUUCAUACAUUUGAACUGACAUAUUCAACUCAUAAAGUAAAGAAAAACAAGGGCUAAAAUAA